ACACAUGCAAGUCGGGCGGUAACAGGAAAGCGCUUGCGCUUUUGCUGACGAGCGGCGGACNGGGUGAGUAAUGUCUGGGGAUCUGCCCGGGGGCGGGGGAUAACCACUGGAAACGGUGGCUNAAUACCGCAUAAUGUCGCAAGACCAAAGUGGGGGACCUGAAAGCCACUGGAAACGGUGGCUNAAUACCGCAUAAUGUCGCAAGACCAAAGUGGGGGACCUGAAAGGGCCUCACGCCGUCGGANUGAACCCAGAUGGGAUUAGCUGGUAGGUAGGGUAAUGGCCUACCUAGGCGACGAUCCCUANGCUGGUCUGAGAGGAUGACCAGCCACACUGGGACUGAGACACGGCCCAGACUCCUACGGGNAGGCAGCAGUGGGGAAUAUUGCACAAUGGGCGCAAGCCUGAUGCAGCCAUGCCGCGUGUANUGAAGAAGGCCUUCGGGUUGUAAAGUACUUUCAGCGGGGAGGAAGGGUUGAGCCUGAACANGGGCUGGGCCUUGACGUUACCCGCAGAAGAAGCACCGGCUAACUCCGUGCCAGCAGCCGCNGGUAAUACGGAGGGUGCGAGCGUUAAUCGGAAUGACUGGGCGUAAAGCGCACGCAGGCGGNUCAAUUAAGUUAGAUGUGAAAUCCCCGGGCUCAACCUGGGAACGGCAUCUAAGACUGGUUGACUGGAGUCUCGUAGAGGGGGGUAGAAUUCCAUGUGUAGCGGUGAAAUGCGUAGAGAUGUGGAGGAAUACCGGUGGCGAAGGCGGCCCCCUGGACGAAGACUGACGCUCAGGUGCGAAAGCGUGGGGAGCAAACAGGAUUAGAUACCCUGGUAGUCCACGCUGUAAACGAUGUCGAUUUGGAGGUUGUGGCCCUGAGCUGUGGCUUCCGAAGCUAACGCGUUAAAUCGACCGCCUGGGGAGUACGGCCGCAAGGUUAAAACUCAAAUGAAUUGACGGGGGCCCGCACAAGCGGUGGAGCAUGUGGUUUAAUUCGAUGCAACGCGAAGAACCUUACCUACUCUUGACAUCCUCAGAAUUUGCAUGUGGUUUAAUUCGAUGCAACGCGAAGAACCUUACCUACUCUUGACAUCCUCAGAAUUUGCUGGAGACAGCGAAGUGCCUUCGGGAACUGAGAGACAGGUGCUGCAUGGCUGUCGUCAGCUCGUGUUGUGAAAUGUUGGGUUAAGUCCCGCAACGAGCGCAACCCUUAUCCUUUGUUGCCAGCACGUCGAGGUGGGAACUCAAAGGAGACUGCCGGUGAUAAACCGGAAGGAAGGUGGGGAUGACGUCAAGUCAUCAUGGCCCUUACGAGUAGGGCUACACACGUGCUACAAUGGCGGAUACAAAGUGAAGCGACCUCGCGAGAGCAAGCGGAACACACAAAGUCUGUCGUAGUCCGGAUUGGAGUCUGCAACUCGACUCCAUGAAGUCGGAAUCGCUAGUAAUCGUAGAUCAGCAUGCUACGGUGAAUACGUUCCCGGGCCUUGUACACACCGCCCGUCACACCAUGGGGAAGUGGGUGGCAAAAGAAGUCGGUAGCUUAACCUUUUUGGAGGGCGCUGACCACUUUGUGGCNUCAUGGACUGGGGUGAAGUCGUA
rnacentral:rRNA from 1 species